GAGGAUUAUCUCUUGUCACACAGCCUGGAAGAUGUGUCGCUGGUUGUGGAAGCGGAGCUCGGUCAGCGUGUUGUUCUGGAGGAGGGCCCGGAAGAUGGCCAGGAUGCCUUUGCCUGUGAUGUGGUUGGAGUCCAGGUUGAGGCUGGUGAUGGUCUUGUUGGCCUUGAGCAUGAUGGCAAUGGCAAAGGCCACAUGGUCAUCGGCUCGCGUGUUGGCCAAGGCGAACACCUUAACCACAGUGUUGAACUCCAGAGCCUCAGUAAACCGGACCAAGAUCUCAUUUGUGAUGCAGUCUGAGUUGUUGACAUUCACCUCAGUCAUCUCGGGGUCGUUGUUCUUCACUCUCUCCAGAGGCUCAUCAAAUAUGCUGGGAGCUGCCUCCUCCUCUACCUUGGCCGGACCUUCAGAGGGCUUGGUGGGGCCACUGGGCAUCUGUUUCUCGGGUGUUUUGGUCUUGCUGUCAUCCUUGGCUUCCUUUUCAUGUAAGAGUUCAUUCUUCUUGACUUUUUCAUCCUCCUUUUUGGUGUCUGUGUUCCCAGUUCCUCUUUUUACCUUCUCAUCCUCCUUUUUCAUGUCUGUGUUCCCACCUGCUCUUUUCAUCUUCUCACCCUCUUUUCUGGUGUCUGUGUUCCUACGCUCCCCUUUUACCUUCUCAUCAUCCUCUUUCUUGGCCACCUCCUUCAUCUCCUCCCUCUUUUUAUCCUUGUCCCUGCUCAAGCCUGUGUUCCUGUCACUCCCUUUCUUCUCCUCUUCCUUCUUGGUGGCCACUGCCCUCUCCUCUCCUCUCCCAUCCUUCCCUGCCUCCUUCUUAUCCACUGCAGCCCUGACCCGGCCCUUGUCAAUGCCCCGGAUGAUCUUCUCCUCCUUGGGCUUCUCGCCACUCUUGCCAUCAGCUUCAUCUCUGUCUCUAGAGAAGCUUUUCUUUAAACCACCCCUCUUUGGCUCCUUCCCCAGAUCUGAGUCCCGUCUGGGGCCCAGGGCUUUUUUGCUGGCAUCUCUGCCCCUUUCCUCUCCAUUCUUGGCAUCUG
rnacentral:lncRNA from 1 species